AUGUGGGGCAGGAGGGUGCAGCCCUUGGCCGCGCCAUGGGGGCACUGGUUGUUACUGGUUGUUACUGGUUGGUGCUACUGGUUGUUACUGGUUGUUACUGGUGUUGGUGUUGGCGUUGGUGUUGGUGGUGUUGGAGCUGGUGUUGGUGUUGGUGUUGGUGCUGGUGUUGGUGUUGGUGUCAGCAUCAGCGUUGGUGCUGGUGCUGGUGUUGGUGAUGUUGGUGUUGGUGCUGGUGUUGGUGGUGUUGGUGUUGGUGUCAGUGUUGGCGUCGGUGUCGGUGGUGUUGGUGAUGUUGGUGUCGGUGUUGGUGUCGGUGUUGGUGUUGGUGAUGUUGGUGUUGGUUUUGGUGUUGGCAUUGGCGUUGGUGUUGGCGUUGGUGCUGGUGCUGGUGUUGGUGCUGGUGUUGGUGUUGUUGGUGUUGUGUUGGCGUUGGCAUUGGCAUUGGUGGUGGUGUUGGUGCUGGUGUUGGUGUUGGCGCUGGUGUCGGCGUCGGUGUUGGUGCUGGUGCUGGUGUUGGCGUUGGCAUUGGCGUUGGUGUUGGUGUCGGUGUUGGUGUCAGUGUUGGCGUUGGUGUUGGUGUUGGUGCUGGUGUUGGUGUUGGUGAUGUUGGUGUUGGUGGUGUUGGUGCUGGUGUUGGUGUUGGUGUUGGUGUUGGUGCUGGUGUCGGUGUCGGUGUUGGUGUUGUUGGUGUUGUUUGGUGCUGGUGCUGGUGCUGGUUGUUACCGGCGGCGAUGUCGGGCAGCAUGGCGCAGCUCUUGGCCACACACAUGGGGGCACCGUGUGUCACUGGUGGUGGUGUUGGUGGUGCUGGUGUCGGUGUCGGUGUUGGUGUUGGUGUUAUUGGUGUUGUUGUUGGUGGUGUUGGUGUUAUUGGUGUUAUUGGUGUUGGUGGUGUUGUUGGUGCUGGUGCUGGUUGUUACCGGCGGCGAUGUCGGGCAGCAUGGCGCAGCUCUUGGCCACGCGC
ensembl:lncRNA